rnacentral:rRNA from 1 species
ACGGAAGGCAGCAGUGAGGAAUAUUGGUCAAUGGGCGAGAGCCUGAACCAGCCAAGUCGCGUGAAGGAUGAAGGUUCUAUGGAUUGUAAACUUCUUUUGUUCGAGGGUAAAGUGAGGGAUGCGUCCCUUAUUGCAAGUAUCGAACGAAUAAGCAUCGGCUAACUCCGUGCCAGCAGCCGCGGUAAUACGGAGGAUGCGAGCGUUAUCCGGAUUUAUUGGGUUUAAAGGGUGCGUAGGCAGUUAAGUAAGUCAGUGGUGAAAUUUUAAGGCUCAACUUUAGAAUUGCCAUUGAUACUGUUUGACUAGAGUGUAUUCGGCGCGGGAGGAAUGCGACAAGUAGCGGUGAAAUGCUUAGAUAUGUCGCAGAACACCGAUAGCGAAGGCAUCCCGAGAGGAUACACUGACGCUGAGGCACGAAAGCGUGGGGAUCGAACAGGAUUAGAUACCCUGGUA